rnacentral:rRNA from 1 species
GAUGAACGCUAGCGGCAGGCCUAACACAUGCAAGUCGAGGGAGGAGCCUUCGGGCUUCGACCGGCGUACGGGUGCGUAACGCGUAUACAAUCUGCCUUUCACAUAGGGAUAGCCCGAAGAAAUUUGGAUUAAUACCUAAUGGUAUAUAGAUGUGGCAUCACCUUUAUAUUAAAGCUGAGGCGGUGAAAGAUGAGUAUGCGUUCUAUUAGCUAGUUGGAGAGGUAACGGCUCCCCAAGGCGACGAUAGAUAGGGGUUCUGAGAGGGAUAUCCCCCACACUGGUACUGAGAUACGGACCAGAAUGCUACGGGAGGCAGCAGUGAGGAAUAUUGGACACUGGUCGGAAGACUGAUCCAGCCAUGCCGCGUGCAGGAAGACGGCCUUAUGGGUUGUAAACUGCUUUUGCAGGGGAAGAAUAAGGACUACGCGUAGUUUGAUGACGGUACUCUGCGAAUAAGCAUCGGCUAACUCCGUG